rnacentral:rRNA from 1 species
UACGUAGGGUGCGAGCGUUUGUCCGGAAUUAUUGGGCGUAAAGAGCUCGUAGGCGGUUUGUCGCGUCGGGAGUGAAAUCCACUGGCUUAACUGGUGGCUUGCUUUCGAUACGGGCAGACUGGAGGUAUGCAGGGGAGAACGGAAUUCCUGGUGUAGCGGUGAAAUGCGCAGAUAUCAGGAGGAACACCGGUGGCGAAGGCGGUUCUCUGGGCAUGUCCUGACGCUGAGGAGCGAAAGCGUGGGGAGCGAACAGG